GCGUCGGUGAGUGAAUGCGUGGCCAACUUCACUGCGACAAGUUCAAUGCAACUCAUUGUACACGUUCAUAGGGAUAAUGGCACAUAACAAUGAGGAUGUAUCCAGAAAAAUAUUCGCAAUGAGGUACAAAAGAAGCAUCGCUCAAACGUUCCGCUCGCUGUCCUUCCGGGAAUUCAGCCUUCCGACUGCGGCCACGUUUUGGCGCUCCAUUAUUUACCAGUUGAAUAUCAAGCCAUUGUAAAAGUAAGAUGAAAUAAUAAGAAUUUUUAAGCAAAGACCGAGUUGCGAUUGUCCAGUUCUUAGGGCCAGCCCUGGGCCUAGGGUGACUAGGCGGCCACCUAGGGUUCCCCAAGGUCUAGGGAUUUUGCGUCUAAGAAUGCAAGAAGAGAGCCGUUUUUCGGAGCUGGCCUCGGACCCUCGAAAUCUCAGGGCCUGCCCUAUCUACCUACAACUUUAAAAUGCAGUAACGAAAUUAUUGAAAAAUCCAGAAAUCUGAACACAUAAAAUAAAAAUUAGAAGUAAUAUUUUUAAUUUAUUGUUUAAUGUAAUCUAGUUU